rnacentral:rRNA from 1 species
ACGAACGCUGGCGGCGUGCAUAACACAUGCAAGUCGAGCGGGCGUAGCAAUACGUCAGCGGCAGACGGGUGAGUAACGCGUGGGAACAUACCUUUUGGUUCGGAACAACACAGGGAAACUUGUGCUAAAUACCGGAUAAAGCCCUUACGGGGAAACGAUUUAUCGCCGAAAGAUUGGCCCCGCGUCUGAUUAGCUAGUUGGUGAGGUAAUGGCUCACCAAGGCGACGAUCAGUAGCNGGUCUGAGAGGAUGAUCAGCCACAUUGGGACUGAGACACGGCCCAGACUCCUACGGGAGGCAGCAGUGGGGAAUAUUGCGCAAUGGGCGGAAGCCUGACGCAGCGACGCCGCGUGGGGGA